CCUACGGGCGUCAGCAGUGGGGAAUAUUGGACAAUGGGGGGAACCCUGAUCCAGCCAUGCCGCGUGUGUGAAGAAGGCCCUCGGGUUGUAAAGCACUUUCAGUGAGGAAGAACGCCUGGUGGUUAAUACCCAUCAGGAAAGACAUCACUCACAGAAGAAGCACCGGCUAACUCCGUGCCAGCAGCCGCGGUAAUACGGAGGGUGCGAGCGUUAAUCGGAAUUACUGGGCGUAAAGCGCGCGUAGGUGGCUUGAUAAGCCGGUUGUGAAAGCCCCGGGCUCAACCUGGGAACGGCAUCCGGAACUGUCAAGCUAGAGUGCAGGAGAGGAAGGUAGAAUUCCCGGUGUAGCGGUGAAAUGCGUAGAGAUCGGGAGGAAUACCAGUGGCGAAGGCGGCCUUCUGGACUGACACUGACACUGAGGUGCGAAAGCGUGGGUAGCAAACAGGAUUAGAUACCCCGGUAGUC
rnacentral:rRNA from 1 species